UACGGAGGGAGCUAGCGUUGUUCGGAAUUACUGGGCGUAAAGCGUGCGUAGGUGGUUGUUUAAGUCUGUUGUGAAAGCCCUGGGCUCAACCUGGGAAUUGCAGUGGAUACUGGGCGACUAGAGUGUGGUAGAGGGUAGUGGAAUUCCCGGUGUAGCAGUGAAAUGCGUAGAGAUCGGGAGGAACAUCCAUGGCGAAGGCAGCUACCUGGACCAACACUGACACUGAGGCACGAAAGCGUGGGGAGCAAACAGG
rnacentral:rRNA from 1 species